CAAUUAAUUUAAAUAUUAAUUGAUUAAUUAUUUUAAUUAAUUAUUAAUUGAUUUUAAUUGAUUAAUUAAUUGGAUUUAAUUAAUCCUUUUUGAUUUAAAAAUUCCGAAAAAUAGUUUCGAGCUUUAAAAUAUUUUUCCAAAUUAUUUUCAAGGCUCGAUAAUUGUUUAUGAAUGAUUUCAAGUCCAAUUUCAAGUAUUUGGGACUUGAUUAUUUGUUCGAAAAGUGAUUCUUUUAUCGAUUUUAAUUCCGAAAAAUGUUUAAAAAUUCUGGAAAAUUCCCGAAAAAUCAUUUUUAACCCAAGACUCGAUUUAAUAUCAAUUGGGAUGGGAAACCUUAUGUGCUAUAUGAAGAUUACUAUCUAUUUAAUGUGUUAUGUGCCGAUAGAGAGUAAGAAAACAGUUUUGUUCAUAACUUUUGACUCGUAAUUCAGAAUGUAGUGAAACGAAAAAGGGAUUAAAGCUUAUAAAGUCUAUUUUCAAGUGACAUAGUAAUAUGGUGGAGUAUAGAAUGUGAAUAAUUGUUGUUAAAUGUGUAGAAUAUGAUUAUAUGUGAUCUAAUUGCUAUUAAUUGAUGAUUGCACGGACUAUCUGGUUGUUCUAGUAUUACAUAAAUGUGAUAAAUGAUUGAAUGACAUAGUGUCGUGUCUUGAUAGAUGUCGGAUAAAAGCAUAUGGAUUAUAGUGAUUGGAUCUUGUUGGUUGAUUGUUGAUUGAGAUAGGAUAACAGGUGGAUAGUCUAAUAAAUAGACGAGACGAUGUCGGAUUUUCGAUAGGAUUCAUAUGAUAAGUGAUUGGUAAUAUGUUAUGUGGAAUAUGACUUGACUAUAUGGUAGAGUCAAAGCAUGAUUACGUGUUAAGUGAUAUGUGAUAAGUUUAAAGGGGUAUAUAAGUGGGUAUCGAUAUACGUGAUAUGUAUAUGCGAUAUAUUGUUUAGUGACUAUAGUAUUAUCUUAUUCUCGUAAAGGAUUUGGACGAGACGUGUAUGCUCGAAGACGUCAGAAAGUCGGAAUGGUAUUGCAAAGCGGAUAAGGGAUGAAUCGAGUAAGUGAAGCAGUGUGGCGAAUAGAGUAUAGCCAGAGAUGGUCUAGAGACUAUGAUAUGCAUAGAUUGUGAAAAUGGAAAGAUGAGAUAGAGAUGUGAGACUGGAGUCAGAUUUAAGAAAGGCUUAAAGAUGAGAUGAUUGAUUGAGAUUCUGAGUAAGGCUAAUGCUAGGCGAGGAGACAGAGUUGAGGAUCCAGUGGUCGAGGAGUGUUCAGAAAAGUUGAUGAGGCUGGUGCAAGCUGGAAUAGUUGACAGUGAUUCUUCUUAUCGAAGAUGAUCUGAUUUGGUAAGAAAUGUGGUGUAAUAUUAGUGGUGGAUUCUAAUUUCAAUGCUAUAACCUGGAUGCGAUCCUGUUGCUUUAGGGGGUUGAAAUGUCUCUUUCGAAUCAUUUAUUUAAGUUAAAAUGUUCUCUUGAAAUUCUCUUAUUAUGGCUUUCAAGUUUGAAAUUCAGGUUUUGAAAUCAUUUGAUUUAUGUUCUCAUUCAAAUCUUUUAUUAAAUGUUUUCAAGUUUUAAAUUCUUUUGGAUUUUCAUUAUCUUUAAAUAAAAAUAAAAAUAAAAAAAAAAUAAAAAAAAAAAUAUUGCAGGUUUUUAAAGUGUCUUAAAAAUGGUUUUUGUGUGGUGACGUCAGAAUCCAGACCCCCGGAUUCCUGGACCGUCACAGUUGGUAUCAGAGCAACAGGUUAUAAGUAUUUGAAAUUAGAAUAUAGAUCAUAGUUAUAGGUUUUUUAGAGAAGAAUGUGGUGUAACCUCACAUAGAGGUAUGGUCGGACUAUUUAGGAAUAGUCUAGAGAUGUGAGUGAAGCAUAGAGUUUAGUUAGAUGAUCAAGUUAAGUGUGGAUAUUUAAAGAGAUUAGGAUUCUUAGGUUUAGACAUAUGAUUUCUAGUAUGUUGAUUAAUUGAGAUGGUGAAUUGUGGAAAAGGUCAGUAUUAGACCUAUAUAGAAGAGUUUGAUAGUGAAUGAUGAGUUGAGUAUGGUGAAAAUGCAGAGUUCAGAGUAUUCUGACUAUACUGCAUAGUUGAAAAUGGUCUAUUGUAUUGAUUUGAGAAUGAUAAAGAUGCAUGGUUCAUAGUAUGUUGACCAUGUCAGAUAUUUGGAAGAUGUAUAUUGUUCUGAGUGAAGAUAUGAAGAGUAAGUGUGGAGUAUGAGUUGUAUUGGAUUAGAAGGAGAGAUUGGUAGAUAGAGGUUGAUAGGUGAGAAGUGAAUGAUAGAGAGUACGUGGAAUCGAAUCCAGUUAUUAGAGAUGAUGUCUACGAGUAAGUUAGAACGUUAGUCCUCGACGACAACGCUUCGAGCUAAUCGGGAUUUCAAAUGGCAUCAAGGUGGGCCCAUAACCCACAGGUUGAUGAUCCAGACAAUCGAAGAUACGUUACGUGUUUGUGCUAUGGAUUCCAAGGGCAACUGGGAUAAAGUAGAAGAAUGUAAACUACAUGGGCCAGAGUUAUUACGAACGAAUGUCAAUCAACUAUCGAGAACGUUGAAAGAAUGACAUAAAUCGAAUAACGAUUUUGUAAAGUAGAGUGGGAAUUUGAGAAGACCUUGGCAAUACCUCUCUUCAACUAAAGAUUCUUUUGAUUAUAUGUUUUUCAUCAGUGAGUUAUUAUGAUAUCAUUUCGAUAAACGAGAUUUUCAAUUUCUCAAAUUCUAAGAUGAUAAUGAUAUUGAUCAUUGGUGUGAGUUAGUAUUGAAUCGGUGUAUGAUAAAGGCGUGUUUAUGAGGAGACAGUGGAAUUCCUUGAUAUUAUUUGAUAUUUUUUGAUAUCCCUGGAUAUUCUUUCAUAUUCUUGGAUAUCCCUUAAUAUUCAUUGAUAUUCUUUGACACUCUUUGGUAUUCCUUGAUAUCUUUUCGAUGUUCCUUAAUAUAUUCUUCGAUAAUCCUUAACCUUUCUUGAUGCUCUUUGAGAUUUCUUGGAUUCUUUCAAUUUGAUUGGGAUGAACAACCCUAUUUAUAGGGGACACAAGGUAUACCUGUCUGUGUGAUAGGAGUUGGAUGGGACGCCAUCACUUGUGUGUGUUGUGAUUACAAGAAGGUUAAAAGCCUUUAGUAGUGUCUAAUAUGGACACGCAACAUUAAGUUCAUUUGAUCUUAUUGAUCUCCCAGUCACUUUUGUAUUUCAAUGUGACCUAUUUUGAAAAUUUCUUGUUCCUCUGAAAUUCCCAAAGAUUGAUUCUUGGGAAAUGAAUUUUGCAAUUGUGGAAGUUGAUUCUCCUAUUUCUUUAAAAGCUAAAGGUAUGCCAAGGUUGAUCAAAAGGUGGAUGAUGAUACAAUAUUACGAAGUGUGUACGUUUUAGUUUUCUUCGGGGGAUUCCGAGGACGGAAUCCUUAUAAGGGGGGUAGAAUGUAAUAUCCCAUAUUUUUAAAUUUAGAUUUGAUUAUUAUAAAUCUAUUUGUCUAAAUAUUAUUGUUGGCUUUAGUUGAAAAGUGAAUUGAUUAUGUGAAUAGUUUUAUAUGAUUAUACUUGUUCUGUGGAUUAAUAUGGAUUAUACUAAUUAUGCGUUCUCCUUCUUUCUCUGAUUCCGAGGACGGAAUCCCUAUAAGGAGGGUAGAUUGUAAUAACCCGGAUUUUUAAAAAUAUUUUUAUUAAUAUUAUAAAUGAUUUUAUUAAAAAGAAAGGAAUAAGAUUUAAUAUUUUAUUCCAGUUUAAUGAGUUUUCAAAGUUUUAUAUUUAAACCCCGGGUUAUUGUGUUAUUGAUAAAUGAUUAUAUUUUUAAAACUGAUUUUCAUAUAUUGUUUCGAAAAUUUUAGAUGAAUAUUAUGUGAAUAUAUGUGGUAUGUGACUAAGUGUUACUCGUGGUAUUACUCGUUUAAUUAUUUUGGUGAUUUAUGAAUAUUAUAUGAUUAUUAUAUAAUUUUGUGUUAUCUAGUUUAUUGAGCUGAAUGCUCGUAUGUGUUCGUAUUCGCGAGAUUUCAAUUUCUAUAUGCUCAGGAGAAAAUAUAGUUUAUUUGGAUGUUUUCAUAUCGAUUUAUGGAAUGUUAGAUGAUUUUAUAAUCGAUUUACGGAUUUAAUUGCGUAUAUUUAUAUUUAUUGAUUAAUUAUUUGACUUCCGUAAAAUCGUCCACUCGUAACGGUGUAGCAAAUUUUCUUCCCAGAAGUUUCAACAAAACUCACCUUUAGUCUAAUUUGAAUAUUCCGGACACUUUUCGUGUUUUGACUUUUUCGAUCCGGAGUACGGUUUUUCCCGGAGUCGGUCCGGCGGAGUUUUGCGGGUAUUUGAAUUGUUGAUAAUUAUCCAGUUUGUCUCGAUAAGCGUGAAACUAGAUAUUUUGAUUAUUAUAUUAAUUCUUAUCUUGUAAUAAUUGCAGUGGGACCCGCAUACUAAUGACUGAUUAAAAAGCCCCGUUUUGAUGAUUAUCUUGAAAACCAGUACCGAUUGGACCCCGCUAUAUUAAUAUAAAGCUAUUAAAUACGUAUUUUCAUGUCAUAAACGAUCCAAAGGGGUACCAAUUAUUUGUAAAUAUAAAUAGACUUUUCUAUAGCUGAUUUUCACCCGUAAAAUCAUUUCACCAGUUUCUUUUCACGAAUACCGAGAGAAACCGAGCUGCGUUCUUCGUGUUCUUCAUAAUCAAACGAGGAUUUGAAGGUGUUAUUGGAAUCCGAUGGAGGCGUAUAAAUAGUCAAAACGAAGCUCUCGACGCGUAGAAUCUAGUACAAUCAUCCGUUUAUAUGCAGAUUCAACAGGAUUUGGACGAGACGUGUAUGCUCGAAGACGUCAGAAAGUCGGAAUGGUAUUGCAAAGCGGAUAAGGGAUGAAUCGAGUAAGUGAAGCAGUGUGGCGAAUAGAGUAUAGCCAGAGAUGGUCUAGAGACUAUGAUAUGCAUAGAUUGUGAAAAUGGAAAGAUGAGAUAGAGAUGUGAGACUGGAGUCAGAUUUAAGAAAGGCUUAAAGAUGAGAUGAUUGAUUGAGAUUCUGAGUAAGGCUAAUGCUAGGCGAGGAGACAGAGUUGAGGAUCCAGUGGUCGAGGAGUGUUCAGAAAAGUUGAUGAGGCUGGUGCAAGCUGGAAUAGUUGACAGUGAUUCUUCUUAUCGAAGAUGAUCUGAUUUGGUAAGAAAUGUGGUGUAAUAUUAGUGGUGGAUUCUAAUUUCAAUGCUAUAACCUGGAUGCGAUCCUGUUGCUUUAGGGGGUUGAAAUGUCUCUUUCGAAUCAUUUAUUUAAGUUAAAAUGUUCUCUUGAAAUUCUCUUAUUAUGGCUUUCAAGUUUGAAAUUCAGGUUUUGAAAUCAUUUGAUUUAUGUUCUCAUUCAAAUCUUUUAUUAAAUGUUUUCAAGUUUUAAAUUCUUUUGGAUUUUCAUUAU